GUUUAACAAGAAAAUUAUUUGAAUGUGGAUGUGUGAAUUUGUGCUUUGAAAAUUUAUUUUGUAUGAGUAUUUGAUGAACAUAACAAGUUGAACAAUUAGAAUUCAUGUUAUGAAGGUUUAAUCAUUUGAAAUCUAAUUUGUUUUCAUUUUUCAGGUACUAUGAAAUUUUGUCAAAUUUGGGCAGCAGAUUUCACAACCUGCGACAUAACCGAUUUUGGUUGUGUCGU
rnacentral:misc_RNA from 1 species